rnacentral:rRNA from 1 species
CACGUAGGGCGCAAGCGUUGUCCGGAAUUAUUGGGCGUAAAGAGCUCGUAGGCGGUCUGUUGCGUCCGCUGUGAAAACUCGGGGCUUAACCCCGAGCCUGCAGUGGAUACGGGCAGACUAGAGGUAGGUAGGGGAGAAUGGAAUUCCCGGUGGAGCGGUGAAAUGCGUAGAGAUCGGAAAGAACACCAACGGCGAAAGCACUCUGCUGGGCCGACACUGACACUGAGAGACGAAAGCUAGGGGAGCGAAUGGG